rnacentral:rRNA from 1 species
CCAGACUCCUACGGGAGGCAGCAGUGGGGAAUAUUGCACAAUGGGGGGAACCCUGAUGCAGCGACGCCGCGUGAGUGAAGAAGUAUUUCGGUACGUAAAGCUCUAUCAGCAGGGAAGAAAAAAGGACGGUACCUGAGUAAGAAGCCCCGGCUAACUACGUGCCAGCAGCCGCGGUAAUACGUAGGGGGCAAGCGUUAUCCGGAAUUACUGGGUGUAAAGGGAGCGUAGACGGCAAUGCAAGUCCGGAGUGGAAUGCGGCAGCUCAACUGCCGAACUGCUCUGGAAACUGUAUGGCUUGAGUACAGGAGAGGAAAGCGGAAUUCCUAGUGUAGCGGUGAAAUGCGUAGAUAUUAGGAAGAACACCAGUGGCGAAGGCGGCUUUCUGGACUGAAACUGACGCUGAGGAGCGAAAGCGUGGGUAGCAAACAGGAUUAGAUACCCGAGUA